GACGAACGCUGGCGGCGUGCUUAACACAUGCAAGUCGAACGGAAAGGCCCUGCUUUUGUGGGGUGCUCGAGUGGCGAACGGGUGAGUAACACGUGAGUAACCUGCCCUUGACUUUGGGAUAACUUCAGGAAACUGGGGCUAAUACCGGAUAGGAGCUCCUGCUGCAUGGUGGGGGUUGGAAAGUUUCGGCGGUUGGGGAUGGACUCGCGGCUUAUCAGCUGGUUGGUGGGGUAGUGGCUUACCAAGGCUUUGACGGGUAGCCGGCCUGAGAGGGUGACCGGCCACAUUGGGACUGAGAUACGGCCCAGACUCCAACGGGGGGCAGCGGUGGGAAAUAUUGCACAAUGGGCGGAAGCCUGAUGCAGCACCGCCGCGUGCGGGAUGACGGCCUUCGGGUUGUAAACCGCUUUCGCCUGUGACGAAGCGGGAGUGACGGUAAUGGGUAAAGAAGCACCGGCUAACUACGUG
rnacentral:rRNA from 1 species